AGGAAAAGGCCCGAGAGAGAGUUGAAGUCCAAAACACCUGGCCCAAGUUUGCCCAUGCCUGGUGUAGAUGCUCCCUGGAAGACGGGCAGCAGCAGCCGCUCUCCUUCCUGGCUGAGGAAGAGGAGGGCACGGAAGCGCCUUCGUUCUGAAGCGGGGCUCCAUGUUCUACGCGGGAUCUCUCCCUCCUUCUCCGGCUCCCGAAGAGGCUCGGCUCGUCGCCAUGGAGCCCCCUUAGGAGCAGCAGCUCUUGGUGGCGGCGGGGAUGUCCCGAGGAGGGAGCGCCAACCCGGCCGCCGCCUCUGCCUCCACCUCGGCCCGGGCUCGCUCUGAGCAGCCGCCCCGCAAUUUCCCCAACGAGCAGUUCCUGGCCGUUUGCCGCGAAUUAACCCGCUCGAGCGAAGGGGCCGACCCCUCCUGGCAGCUCCUGACGCAGUCCAUGGGCUUCAACAUCUACCGCCGGAAGGACGAGAAAUCAGGACUAUAUGAGUAUAAAAUCUAUGGAACGCUUGAAAAUUGUUCCCCAGACCUAUGCGCUGAUGUUUAUAUGGAUUUACACUACAGAAUAAAAUGGGACGAGUUUCUUAAAGAGCUACAUGAGGACACACGUGAUGGCAGGACAGUGAUUCACUGGGAAGUAAAGUUCCCAUUUCCCUUGACAAACAGAGAUUAUGUUUUUAUUCAUGAGCGUCAAGAUAUGGAAGUUGAUGGACAGAAGAUCUAUGUCAUAUUGGCUAAAAGUGCCAAUUCUUCUAAAUUCCCAGAAAAGAGUGGGAUUGUUAGAGUAAAGAAUUAUAGACAAAGUGUGGCCUUUCAAAGUGAUGGCAAGAAAGGAUCCAGAGUUUUCAUGAACUACUUCGAUGAUCCUGGUGGCAAGCUUCCUUCCUGGCUUGUCAACUGGGCAACCAAGGUACCAAAAUCAUUUGGUUAUCUUUGGGUGCCAUGCAAUCUCAGUGGUCAGACAACAAAGUGUCUUUGGCCAACCCUGAAAAAUGAAAGAUGGACACUACAUAAUUGUUCUAGCUACCAUACAACAAAGAAUGACUGUCAUUGUCAUGUCCUCUUUUCUGAAGCAUCUGUAUAGUGACAAUUUUGGGCUCAAGUAGGUAAUUCCUUUAUUUAUUUAUCGUGUCAGAAGCAAAUUGAGACUGCAGUUAUAAAGUAUAAAAAACCACAAAGUUAAAAACUUGGCAUUAUGCUAAAUUUCCUUUAGCCACUUCAAGUGCCUCUGGUGUCACUGUAAGAAGGUCCUCCAAUGUGCAUGUGGCGGAGUUCAGACUGCAUUGUAGUAAGUGGUCUGCUCCUAUAGUUUGCUCCUCUCCACACUUGUAUGUUGUGGACUCCACUUUGUAGCCUCAUUUCUUAAGGCUGGCUCUCCAUCUCAUGGUACCAUAAUGCAGUCUGUUCCAAGUUGACCAAUCUUCUGUGUGCCCAGGAGCAAAUUUCUCAUCUGGUAUCAGCCACUGAGGUUCCAAGUUUUAGCCUGCCACUUUUGGAUUCUCGCUUGCUUGGGUGUUCUGCAAGUAUCUCUGUAGAUCUUAGGAAGCUGUUUAAGACAUUGACAUGCUGGUUGAUAUGCAAACAGAGGAUGGGCUGGAGAUGUCAAUGCUUUGGACUUUUUUUUACUGGCUGCUACUUCCCGAUGGAUAUCAGGUGGUGCAAUACUGGCUAAAUAGUAUAAUUUCUCCAACGGCAUAUGGCAUAGACAUCCUAUGAUAAUGUGGCAUGUCUCAUUAAGAGCCACAUCCACUGUUUUAACAUGGUGAGAUGUAUUCCGCACUGGGCAUGCACACACAAAGUGCAAGGGCAAAUGUCUUCACUGUGUCUGGUUUUAAUCCCCACGUUGUGCCAGUCAGCUUUCGUAUGAUAUUAUUUCUAGCACUUUCUUUUUUGCUUUAUAAUCAAGCAGUGCUUCUUGUAAGUCUUGUAAUUUCGUUACUGAUAUCCCAGUACAGCUACCUGUAUUCCUUGCUUGAACUGUUAUUUCAGCCAUCCUGUCAAGAUGUCUACUACUGACCUUCAUAAGAACUUUUCAACAGAACAAUGAAACAGGACUGACAUUAUGGAUUUUAUGUAGUGAGAAUAAGAGUAUAACAAAAGAAAAGCACUUUCACAGUCAUGACAGACAACACGAUUCAAUUCUCCAUGCUCAAAGCCCCCACCUGCUCCAUAACAGUUCAUAUAAAGACAGAUCCUUGUGAAUUUAGACAACCACAGUCAUUAGUGUUCAAUGUUGUUGGCACAUUUAAUACAAAAGCUGGCAGAGAGGCCACUGCCAAGGUCUUCAGCUUGUUUGCAUGAUGUGUAUGACAACAUGUUGUUGAUGUUUUACUUUAGUAGAACUGCCACCAAGAAAAAGUGAAAAAAAAAUCACCCCUUUGACUGACUUGUACAUUUUUUUUCAGGAUAUUUUCAGUAAUUUCCAUGCUGACAAUAGACUCAGAUAGACCUCUUGAAAUGAAAGUAACUCUUUGGAUUAUAUUUUGGGUGCAUCUAUGAUUUAGAAUUAAUGCAGUGUGACACCACUUUAACUGCCAUGGCUCAAUGCUCUGAGAUCCUGGAUUUGUACUCUGAUCAGGCACUAGCACUUUUUGGCAGAAAAAGCAAAAUACUUUGAAAUACUGCAGUUCCCAUUAUUCUAUAGCAUUGGUGUUAAACUGCAUUAGUUCUAUUAUGUAGAUGCACCCCAUGUCUUUGUGAGAAUGUAGUUCAUGCGCAGUGUUCAAAGCUAGGGGACACUGUCCUGUUUUGUAGCUACCCUGACACUGCUUUACUGUAUAGGAAAUAAUAUAAAUAGGAAAUAAUAGUGUAAAUUUGCUAACAUUUGCAUCAGAGAUAGACAUACUGAAUGUGUCAAUUGUAGCUAUAUCCUUUUUUUAAAAAAAAAGUAAAAAAAAUGUUGUUGAUAUUUGUCUUCAAGUCAUUUCUGAAAUAUACCUGCCGUAAGGCAAUCCUCUUAUAGGAUUUUCUUGUUAGAAUUUGUUCAGAGGAUUGCCCUGACUUCUUCUGAAGCUGAGAGAAUGUGACUUGCCCAAAUUUACUCAGUAAGUUUCAUAGCUGAGCAGGAAUUCAAAUUGGCAUCUCCCAGUGUGCUAUACCAUGCUAAAACUUGGGACAGACAACUCCCCAUCACUUUCCUCUUUCAUUCAGGCUGGAAUUCCCAAGCAAUUUUAACUGUCUUUUUUUUGGAAAGAAAGUGAAGUUUAAUUAUUCCUUACCUUUCCAAAACUUUGUCCCAUGCAGUAAAUGUAGAUGGCACAAUAUAGAAGUUACUUUUUAUCCCAAAGUCAGUAGCAAUUCUGUAUGUAAUUUAGAGACAGAAAAAAUGAAUAAGGCUUCAUCUGCAUUGACAUUUAAUACAAAUUGAACUGUGUUAUAUGGUCAGUGUAGACCAGUGGUUCACAACCUGUAGGCCGCGGCCCAACAGUGGGCCAUGAGAACGAAAAUCAGGUCUGUGAACCUCCUUCCUCUUCAUUUUAUUUUUUUUAAUUUAUUUCUGCUCCUUUCUGCAAAGCUGACCAUUGCAUUGGAUAAACCACAUUGGCUCUAGAUUAUUAAAUAUGGUUUUCUGUGGGCGAGCCGGUAGCGACUACUGGGUGGCAUAUGUUCUGUAUCAGAAACUAGAGCUGAUGUAGUCUAUCCAAUGCAAUUUUCUGAAUCAACACCCCAAAUAACCAAACCGAAUCUAAAGUUCAUCACAAAUUGAUUUGUAACCCUUUUGGUAAUAAUGUUGGAGAGUGGUCCCUGGUCAAAUAAUUUAUUUAUUUAUUUAUUUACAGUAUUUAUAUUCCGCCCUUCUCACCCCGAAGGGGACUCAGGGCGGAUUACAAUGAACACAUAUAUGGCAAACAUUCGAUGCCAACAGACAAACAACAUACAUUAGACAGACACAGAGGCAUUUUUAACAUUUUUCCAGCUUCACAAUUCCGGCCAAUAAAGGUUGAGAACCACUGGUGUAGAGUCAUAUAAUGCAGAUUGAACUGGGGUUUUUAAAGUCUACACAGCCAUAUAAUUCAGUUCAAUCUGCAUUACAAUAGCAGUGUAGAUGGGGCCUUAGUCCUAGGAGCCAUUCCUUGGCAAAUACCCAUGUCUUAAGGAGGAGUGUGGUAGGAGGCUGCAUGCAUCUAAAUGUGGCUGGCUGCAUUCAGUGCUCUGUUCAGGUAACAGAAUGAUUCGAGGGCAGUCCUACUAGUUAAUAGGUAAAUCUUUCCCAAUUAUUUCAAAUGUCUUUGAAAUGUCUUUAAAAUGUUCAUGUCUGCAACUGUGGGGUAUGUCAGAUUUGGGAAUUCUUCUUCUGGCAUCCAUCUUUAGCCAAAGGGGCAAGAAACAAUAUCUGAUUCUGCUCUCGAUCUCUGUAUGUCUCUAUUAGAACUGAUUGGAGCCAGUCCUCCAGGAUUUUGGACAUCAGAGUCACCAGAAUUCCAGUUCCUACCUAGCAUUGGUAAAUGUACAAAAAGAAACAGCUUUCUAUUUUCAUGUUCUCUCUGUGUAGAAUGGUCAGUUUAGAGGAAAAAAAUUUCCAGCAGGCUUUCAGAUGAAGAUCUGGAAAAAUAAAAUGAGUCCUACAGUUUAAUUGUCUAUAUAACAUCUGUUACUUUUGCACUCUGUGUACCAGAAAGCCUUCGAUGUGAUGCAUCACUCGAAAGACAUAUGCACUUUAUAAGAUUGUGUGACAGCAGAGAAUGAGUCUGCUGGCAUCCUCACACAGCGCGAUGUGAUGGGGAAGAGUUAUGUCUGAAAUGUCGGUGCUGAUGAAAGGCAGUUCCCAAUGAGAUGCAGAAAAGUAUUUCUUAAAGUUGGCACAGGCACAGCUUGCAUAAGUCUGAUGUGGUUUCUCCACCCCCACCUCUCCUUUUAAAUGAAUCCACUAUUUUUCCAUGCUUGCAAUUUAUUUUGCCAAGUAAAGUUUGAGCUACCCGGCCUAGUAAAUUGACUUGGACCAUGGCUGAGGCCUAUCUUCAUAAUAGUGGUGUCAUCCAAAACUGAGGCCCUUGACCUGGGGCUGUGAGGCUAGGGGGAAAAAAAGUAAAUUUCUAGUUUUGGAGUCUUUUUUAAACUGAAAUAAAUAUGCUGGGAUGGAAAAGUAUGAAAUCUUUGAUUUGAAAUGGGCAGCAAAGUUUGUCUAGUCUAAUUUUUUGCUGAUGCUGCAGGAAUCAACCACUAAAUCACGCUGAAAUGUAGCCAUUAGGCUUGAUCGAUCCAUGAAAAAUUUGAUUCUAAACUCGUUUCAAAACUAGAGGGGGGCAGCUUUUCGUUUCUGAUGGUAUUUCCGAAUUUGGCCCCCCAAAAUUUUCGAAAUUAACGAAAAUUCGUUAUUUUCAAAAUUAAUUCGUUAAUGGCGGACGCGCAUGCGCAAUUCCCAAAAACAGCACAGAGGGAGAGGACUUUACAGGACUCUCCCACCCUCAUUUUUUGAGUGAUCUUCUUCAAACUUGGUACAGUGGUAGAACACAUUUAACACUGAUAGCUCACCAAAAUUUGGAACGUUUCCCUUAUCCUCUGAUUUUUGGAGAAUUUUCAUAGCUUUUAUAAUAAACCAUUUUUUAAUAAUUGCAGAAAUCUGUUCCUGGUUUGAAAGUCUUAUUUCCUGUUAAAUUGGGUUGUCUUUACUGUGAAAGUCAUUGUUCUACUUCAGAAACUUUGUUUUUGUGGCUGAAACUUUGUUAAAUUGGUGUGUGUGUGAUAUAUACUGUGUAUAGUCCCUGCUUAUGUGUGUGUGUGUGUGUGUGUGUGUGUGUGUGUGUGUGUGUGUGUGUAUAGGUAAAGGUAAAGGUAUCCCUUGACGUUAAGUUCAGUCAUGUCUGACUCUGGGGGUUGGUGCUCAUCUCCAUUUCUAAGAGCCAGUGUUGUCCAUAGACACCUCCAAGGUCAUGUGGCCGGCAUGACUACAUGGAGUGCCAUUACCUUCCCAGAAACACCCAGAAAAUGGGAAUUCCAGACAGGAAACAAUCAGGGCCAGCUAAUACCUCCCAACAAAGGAUUCCCCCAGGUAGGAAGCAGCCAGGCUUUGAAGCUGCAAGGCUAUUCAAUGCUAAUCAAGGUGACCAAUUGCAACAUUCACACUUGCCUCCCACAGACAAGAGUUCUUUCUCCCACCCUGGACCUUCCACAGAUAUAUAAACCCCACUUGCCUAGCUUCGCACAGACGUCAAAACCUCUAUGUCUGCCACAGAUGUGGGUGAAACGUCAGGAGAGAAUGCUUCUGGCACAUGGCCAUAGAGCCCGGAAUACAUACCACAACAGUGUGAUCCCGGCCAUGAAAGCUUUCGACAACACAACCACAGUAUCCAUUCAAGUUCAUGUAGCGUGGUAUGGACUGGAGACCUGUAUUGGGGGAAGGGAGGGUGCGAAUCUGGGCCCCUGGGAGUCGUAGUCCUCCCUCCCUCCCUCCCUCCCUCCCUCCCCGGGAGCAGCCGAGGACGGGCCUGGCCCACACCCCCUCGCAUCCCGGGCCUCUUCCUCCUCACCGCCGGGCCCCUCUCUGUCUCUCCAGGCCUGAGCUGAGGCGAGGCGGCGGCGGCGGCCAUUUCCCCCCUCCGUCUUCCUCCUCCUCCUCGGCCUCCUUCCCCCUCGCCCCCUCCCAUUGGCUGAGCCCGUGACGCCCCUUUUGCUGAGGGGCAAAAGGAAAUGAGUUUGGGUGAUUUGCAAAAGCUUUUUUUUCCUAACGAAAAAAACGAAGAAAUAAGAAAAAACGGCCUCUCGCGAUUCGAAACCGCGAUAUCCAGACGUGUGGACAAUCAAGGUCGUAUAUUGCUUCAAAACAAACGAAAAUAACGAAUUAAUAACGGGUAACGGGGAAAUCGAAUUAUUUGAGCAAGCCUAGUAGCCAUCAAACCUCUGAAAAAAAUCAGCAAAGGAAAGCCUAUCACCUUCUGAGUCUAUUCCACUCUGAAAGAGCUCUAGGAACCAGAUCAUUCUUCUUAAUGGCAGAAUAUAUCCAUAGUAAAUUAGGAGAGCCUGGAUAUCUUGUACAGCUGUACUGAGUUUAAGAUAAUCUCAUUUUUUGCAGUUCGGCACAGGUGGUCUUUAGUCACUUGCCACCACAAAGUUUGAAGAAGAUAUCAUCAGAUUCCUCAUCCCUUGUCUGCAAAUUAUGAAUAAAAAGUGUUGUGUUGUCAGAAGACAGGAGAAGAAUUAAAAACGAUCUUAACAGACUAGAGAGAUGGGCCGAAACUAACAAAAUGAAGUUCAACAGGGAGAAAUGCAAGAUACUCCAUUUAGGCAGAAAAAACGAAAUGCAAAGAUACAGAAUGGGUGACGGUGCCUGGCUCGACAGCAGUAUGUGUGAAAAAGAUAUUGGAGUCCUCGUGGACAACAAGUUAAACAUGAGCCAACAAUGUGAUGUAAUGGCAAAAAAAGCCAAUGGGAUUUUGGCCUGCAUGAAAAGAAGUCUAGUGUCUGGAUUUUAUUUAUUUAUUUAUUUGCAGCAUUUAUAUUCCGCCCUUCUCACCCCGAAGGGGACUCAGGGCGGAUCACAUUGCACAUAUAGGCAAACAUUCAAUACCUUUUAACAUAGAACAAAGACAAACAAACAUAGGCUCCGAGCGGCCUCGAACUCAUGACCUCCUGGUCAGAGUGAUUCAUUGCAGUUAAUUGCAGCUGGCUUGCUCUCCCGCCUGUGCCACAGCCCGGGCCCUGGAUCCAGGGAAGUCAUGCUACCCCCCUAUUUUGCUUUGGUCAGACCACAUUUGGAAUCACACUCUGUCCAGUUCUGGGCACCGCAAUGGAAGGGAGAUAUUGACAAGCUGGAAUGUGUCCAGAGGAGGGUGACUAAAAUGAUCAAAGGUCUGGAGAACAAGCCUUAUGAAGAGCGGCUUAAAGAACUGGGCAUGUUUAACCUGCAGACAGGGCCGGUCCAACAAUGAGGCAAAUUAAGCGGUCACUUCGGGCGCAAAACAUACGGGGACGCAGUCGAGACUGCUUUUUCUUGUAAAACAUGAUGUUUUGGUGCUAAAUUUGUAAGAUCUUAAUGUAAUUUGAUGUUUAAUAGGCUUUUCCUUAAUCCCUCCUUAUUAUCCAACAUUUUCGCUUAUCAACGCUUUUAUUUUUCAGUAAUUGGUUUGGCUCUGUUCACCUACACUUGAAAAAUACCUAGGGCCAGCUCUGCCUGCAGAAGAGAAGGUUGAGAGGAGACAUGAUGAGGGCAAUGUAUAAAUAUGUGAAGGGAAGUCAUAGGGAGGAGGGAGCAAGCUUGUUUUCUGCUGCCCUGGAGACUAGGACGUGGAACAAUGGCUUUAAACUACAGGAAAGAGAUUCCACCUGAACAUUAGGAAGAACUUCCUCACUUUGAGAGCUGUUCAGCAGUGGAACUCUUGGAGUGUAGUGGAGGGUCCUUCUUUGGAGGCUUUUAAGCAGAGGCUAGAUGGCCAUCUGCUGGGGAUGCUUUGAAUGCAAUUUUCCUGCUUCUUGGCAGAAUGGGGGUGGACUAGAUGGCCCGUGAGGUCUCUUCCAACUCUAUGAUUCUAUUAUUCUAACAUUACACUUGGCUUGGCAUGGUCCCAAGCAAUAAAAAUAAAGUGAGUGGUGGUUACCCAAUAGCUUAUGAUGCAGUGGAAACCUGCAUGUCUUCAUGUCAUUUCUGUCACAGGUCUACCCACUAUUAAUGUUUAGAUACUGAAUAAUUGCUGUCUGAUUAUUCAAUAGUGGCUUUAUCUAUGUCUAUUUUAUUUCAAAAUGUUAUUGUGUUCUAAGGCAUAUGAACCUAGGAAAGUUACUUUGUUGGACUACAGCACACAGAAUUGUUGGAAGAGUAAGUAAGUCAUAAUCCUAAAAUAACCUUUCUAAAUUCUGAUUGUUAUUACCUGUGCAUUUCCUCUGGAUUUUGCUUCCCUUUUAGCUGAAUAUCAGUUUCCUGCCAUGUGCAUGUUUACACCUAGAUCCUCCAGACAAGUGUAAAAUGUAGACCAGUUCAAUAUAGUUAAAGAUUGAUUGCACCAGAUGGCAGGUAGGGAUGUCAAGUUGUUCAUCCAUCUAGUCAGGCACCAAGUGUAUUUUACAAAGAGGGGACAUUCUGUAGGAUCAUCUAAAUUCACCCUUCUCUGAUGAGAAAGAUUGGCUGUAAUUGAGCUUAGCUAGAGGUGAACUUAAAAAUGGGGAAAAUGGCAAGAGAACCAUUAAAUUGUCGGCAGAGUGAACAAGACAGCAAUUCCAAAUUAUAAAUGUCCACUUUUGGGGGUGGGUGGGUGGAGAGACAUUCACUGUUUUUAUAACACAGAAUUCUGGCUGAAUAGAUUAAGGGAUGGUCACCAAUGACAACAGAAACACAAUUGGGUUCUUCGGGGAACAGAAAUGUGUGUGUGUGUGUGUGUAUGGGGAGCGGGAUUUAAGUAAAUGGGAAAAUGGCUCUAUCUGUAUAGGCAAAUGAUAAAAUCUUUUCCUUUUAGCAGAAAAUGCCUGACAUUAAAUGUUGAGCUGGCUUGUAUGUUUUUUCUGACACACUUCUUCAUUACAGUGAUGGUUAAUUUUAGUUUGAAAACAGCAGUAAAAUGAAAGGUGUUGCUGGCUGAGCCGAGGUGUCUUGCAUUCCAGCAGUCUUGUUUUACAUGGCAAGUCAAUGGCAUUUAAUGACUUCUACACUAAACCGCCUAUUAUUUCCCAAUUUUAAAAGCAGAUCUGCCAUCCAAGAUGACAUUCAUUUCUGGGUCGCUGAAAAGGCAGCUGCUUUCUCCUGUCACAUGUUGGCUUAAGGAGCCAAUUUGCUGCUACAAACAGGUGUUUGUGAUGCAACAGAGUCCAACUCGCCCAUUUUAAGUACUUGAGAAACACACGCUUGUCCUUGGCAGGCCCCUCCCCAAGCAAUUUUUGAACAAUGAAAAGUUCAAAAUGACUUCCUUGUAGUUUGAGUAGAUGGACAAGACUCUAGGGAAAACAUACAACUGGUUUUACCGUGUUUUCCCGAAAACAAGACAGUGUCUUAUAUUAAUUUUUGCUCCCAAAGAUGCACUAGGUCUUAUUUUCAGGGGAUGUCUUAGUUUUCCAUGAAGAAGAAUUCACAUUUAUUGUUGAACAAAAAAAUGAACAUUUAUUAUAUACGGUACCGUAGUUGUCAUCACAAGCCAGCAUAACCAGACAAACUGUGUAUCCUAUCAAGAAUUUCUUAUUACUACCAUUAUUUCCAUGUACAACAAUCUAUGGUACUUACAUUGACCGAUCCUGCAUGCUCUGGUGUUCUGUUUGGCGGGCAUGCUUCCAAACAAAAACUUUGCUAGGUCUUACUUUCAGGGGAGGCCUUAUAUUUAGCAAUUCAGCAAAACUUCUACUAGGUCUUAUUUUCUGGGGAUGUCUUAUUUUAGGGGAAACAGGGUAGGUGAACCCCUCUUCCUCUUAGAAAGCUUUGGGCAUUUUAAGGACAGCUGAUAAGUCAAUUGAUGACUGUAGACACUGCUAAAUCAUCUCUUUGUACAGCAAUGUCGCAGAUGACACACACUUCUUCCAUUCCAUGUUGGGAAAGGUUAUAUCUGCAAGACAAAGGUUUAGGUCUAAAGACUUUACAACCCAUAAAGGCAAUUACAAACUGAGGCAAUGUAGUUAAUUGUAGCUCUUCAGCAUGUAAUCACCAGUGUACGAGCACAUGCAUGCCCCCUGUUCACACAUUUUACAUAUUUACAAUGUGCUUAUUGUUAUGGAUUUUCUGUGUGGCAGGGGAAUCCUAGAAUCAUAGAAUAAUAGAGUUGGAAGAGACCUCAUGGGCCAUCCAGUACAACCCCAUUCUGCCAAGAAGCAGGAGAAUCACAUUCAAAGCACCCCUGACAGAUGGCCAUCCAGCUUCUGCUUAAAAGCCUCCAAAAAAGGAGCCUCCACCACACUCCGGGGGAGAGAGUUCCACUGCCAAACAGCUCUCACAGUGAGGAAGUUCUUCCUGAUGUUCAGGUGGAAUCUCCUUUCCUGUAGUUUAAAGCCAUUGUUCCACGUCCUAGUCUCCAGGGCAGCAGAAAACAGUCUUGUUCCCUCCUCCCUAUGCCUUCCCCUCACAUAUUUAUACAUUGCCCUCAUCAUGUCUCCUCUCAGCCUUCUCUUCUGUAAGCUAAACAUGCCCAGCUCUUUAAGUCACUCCUCAUAAAGUUUGUUCUCCAGACCCUUGAUCAUUUUAGUUGCCCUCCUCUGGACGCUUUCCAGCUUGUCAACAUCUCCCUUCAACGGUAGUGCCCAGAAUUGGACACAGUAUUCCAGGUGUGGCCUGACCAAGGCAGAAUAGAGGGGGAGCAGGACUUCCCUGGAUCUAGUUACUAUACUCCUAUUGAUGCAGGCCAAAAUCCCAUUGGCGUUUUUAGCUGCCGCAUCACAUUGUUGGCUCAUCUUUAACUUGUUGUCCACAAGGACUCCAAGGUCUUUUUGGCAUGUAUUGCUGUCGAGCCAGGCAUUCCCCAUUCUGUACCUUUGCAUACAAUUUUUUUCUGCCUAAAUGGAGUAUCUUGCAUUUGUCCCUGUUGAACUUCAUUUUGUUAGUUUUGGCCCAUCUCUCUAGUCUGUUAAGAUCGUUUUGAAUUCUUCUCCUGUCUUCUGGAGUGUUGGCUAUCCCUCCCAGUUUGGUGUUGUCUGCAAACUUGAUGAUCAUGCCUUCUAACCCUUCGUCUAAGUCAUUAAUAAAGAUGUUGAACAGAACCAGGCCCAGGACGGAGCCCUGCGGCACUCCACUCGUGACUUCUUUCCAAGAUGAAGACGACGCAUUGGUGAGCACCCUUUGGGUUCGUUUGGUUAGCCAAUUACAGAUCCACCUAACCGUAGUUUUGUCUAGCCCACAUUUUACUGGUUUGUUUGCCAGAAGGUCGUGGGGGACUUUGUCGAAGGCCUUACUGAAAUCCAGGUACGCUACAUCCACGGCAUUCCCUGUAUCGACCCAACUCAUAACUCUAGUGAAAAAAGAGAUCAGAUUAGUCUGGCAUGACUUGUUUUUUGGUAAAUCCGUGUUGACUAUUAGCGAUGACUGCAUUUAUUUCUAAGUAUUUGCAGACCACUUUCUUAACGAUCUUUUCCAGAAUCUUGCUUGGUAUCGACAUGAGGCUAACCGGACGAUAAUUGUUUGGGUCAUUCUUUUUUUCCUUCUUGAAGAUAGGGACCACAUUCACCCUUCUCCAAUCUGCUGGGACUUCUCCUGUUCUCCAAGAACUUUCAAAGAUGAUUGCCAGUGGUUCUGAAAUAACUUCUGCUAGUUCCUUCAACACUCUUGGAUGUAGUUGAUCUGGGAGCUCACCCUGUCUCGUGGAUUCAAACAGGCAACCUUCAGGUCAGAAACACAACCUUCAGUCAAAAAUCAGAAACUCCUCAAAGCACAGCAGACAAAGAGUCAGUACAAGAAAACCGCACUACAAACUAGAGCUGACAGCUGGCACAACAAAACAUCGCAUGGAAAGUUCCUUGACAAAAUUGAAGGAAAAGCUGAUAAGAAGACCUGGCUAUGGCUCACGAAUGGGACCCUGAAGAAGGAGACAGAAGGCCUGAUCCUUGCAGCCCAGGAGCAAGCCAUCAGAACAAAUGCAAUUAAGGCCAAGAUCGAAAAAUCAGCUGAUGACCCAAAAUGCAGACUGUGCAAGAAAGCUGACGAAACUAUUGAUCAUAUCCUCAUCUGCUGUAAGAAAAUCGCACAGACUACAAACAGAGACACAACUAUGUGGCCCAAAUGAUUCAUUUGAACUUAUGCCUCAAGUACCACCAGUAAAGAACUGGUGGGAUCACAAACCUGCAAAAGUAUUGGAGAAUGAGCACACAAAGAUACUGUGGGACUUCUGAAUCCAGACUGACAAAAUUCUGGAACACAACACACCAGACAUCACAGUUGUGGAAAGAAAAAAGGUUUGGAUCAUUGAUGUUGCCAUCCCAGGUGACAGUCACAUUGAUGAAAAACAACAGGAAAAACUCAGCUGCUUAUCAGGACCCCAAGAUUGAACUUCAAAGACUCUGGCAGAAACCAGUACAGGUGGUCCCGGUGGUGAUGGACACACUGGGUGCCGUGCCAAAAGAUCUCAGCCGGCAUUUGGAAACAAUAGACAUUGACAAAAUUACGAUCUGCCAACUGCAAAAGGCCACCCUACUGGGAUCUGCACGCAUCAUCCGAAAAUACAUCACAAAGUCCUAGACACUUGGGAAGUGUUCGACUUGUGAUUUUGUGAUACAAAAUCCAGCAUAUCUAUCUUGUUUGUGUGUCAUAAUAAAAUAAUAAUGGAUCUUU